AUGUACUCGUCGCAGUCGUUCCGUCGCAUCAACAACAUCCGCACCUCCCUCAUCAACACCCAGAAGGGAAACUAGUCCGUCGCCUCCUACUUUUCCUCGAUGCGCGGCCUUGCGGACGAACUCGUCGCGGCCGGCAAGCCGACCCAGGAUGAUGAACUCAUCUCCUAUAUUCUUCAUGGGUUGGAUCAGGACUAUCAGCCCCUCGUCUCAGCCCUCGAUGCUCGUGUCACUCCUGCCUCCCUCGACGAGAUCUUCUCCAUGCUCAGCAACUUCGACCAACGCAUGGCUCAGUUCCAUGGC
rnacentral:rRNA from 1 species